UGCUAAAUAACUGUAAUAUACUAAGUAUUUCGUUAGUUGUCCUGUUACGAAACAAUUUGUAAUAAUAGCAUCUCGAGUUUCUUAAACUCGAGAUUCAAUUUAAAAAUCGAGCUUUUAAGACUCGUUUUUGUUGUUUUUCAGUUGCUGACAUGGCGAAAGUUUCCACUUGGAUAGCGAGUUUAUAAAACUCGAUUUCCAAAAUCGAGUUUUAUAAACUCGCUUUCGCUUUAACGCUUUUUUCCCUUCCCACUUAAAACAAUCUACAGAGACCCGUUCAAAAUCUCUCAAUCUCAGACACCGCUCUCUCAAACUCUCUCAAGCUCUCUCAAACUCUCUCAAACUCUCUCAAACUCUUCCCCUCACUGUAAAAAUUUCAAAAUCAACUCACUCUCAGACACUCCGCUCUCUCAAACUCGCCGUGCCGAAGGUGCUGCUCCCAUUGACACUCAGCCACCGAAACUCAGUUCUGCUUCCACCAACAGUCAGGCACUCAAAGUCAGUACUGCUCCCAUUGAACCACCGUGCGCCUAAGUAUGGAGCCUCGGAUUGAUGAGGAGUUAGAGGUCUUGGACCCCGGUCCACGUCAGAGGUCAUUGUUGACACGACAGCCAUAUCAUCGAUCAGAGGCCAUUUGGAAUGGCGAGGACUCGGGCCCACUUACGUGCCGUGGUCGCACUAAGGAGAUGGCAAACGUUCAGAUGCAAGAUAAUCGAGUCAUUGAUAUUAUCAAAUUGCUAAGGCUAGAAGGAUUGUUUAGAGCCCCUUCAAGAGAGAUAGAUAAUUGCCUAAUAUCGGCCCUAGUUGAGCGAUGGCGGCCGGAGACUCAUACUUUCCAUCUUCCACAUGGUGAGAUGACAAUCACCCUACAAGAUGUGGAGGUAAUUUUCGGACUUCCUACAGACGGUGACGUCUUGGUUGGGCCGACUGCUGUGGUGGAUGAUGGGGGUU